rnacentral:rRNA from 1 species
CACUCCUGCGGGAGGCAGCAGUGGGGAAUUUUGGACAAUGGGCGCAAGCCUGAUCCAGCCAUGCCGCGUGUCUGAAGAAGGCCUUCGGGUUGUAAAGGACUUUUGUCCGGGAGCAAAUCCUAGUGGUUAAUAACCGCUGGGUCUGAGAGUACCGGAAGAAUAAGCACCGGCUAACUACGUGCCAGCAGCCGCGGUAAUACGUAGGGUGCAAGCGUUAAUCGGAAUUACUGGGCGUAAAGCGUGCGCAGGCGGUUGUGCAAGUCUGAUGUGAAAGCCCCGGGCUUAACCUGGGAACGGCAUUGGAGACUGAACGACUAGAGUGCGUCAGAGGGGGGUAGAAUUCCGCGUGUAGCAGUGAAAUGCGUAGAGAUGCGGAGGAAUACCGAUGGCGAAGGCAGCCCCCUGGGAUGACACUGACGCUCAUGCACGAAAGCGUGGGGAGCAAACAGGAUUAGAUACCCCGGUAGUCCCAUGAU